rnacentral:lncRNA from 1 species
AUGGGGAAUGUAUUGUGUAUGUUCAUCUUACUGAUUAAUGAAUAAAGUACUUGUUUGGCCAAUGAGACAACAAGUUAGACGGGACUAGGAGUCAAAGAGGAUUCUGGGAAAUGUAGUAGAGAAGUGGUGAUCCAGACAGGAAGUGACAUAGCAAGGAGACUCAUUUAAACAAGGAGAAACAGGAAAUGUCCCUUUUCCCCUUCCUCCUCCAGCAGCGCCAUGUGAGCCACCAGCAAGAGAGGGUGCCAGCAAAAGGCAUCCUCUAUAAGAUAAGUCUUAUAAAAUAUAUAGAUUUAUGAUAAUUAAGACUGAGCUAAAAGAUGAGGAAUCCUAGUCAUUGGCCAAGCAGCAUUUGAACCUGAUACAGGUUUCUGUGUAUUAAUUUGGGCCCUAACUCGGGCAUGCAGCUGGUAUAAAGCACACAUGUGGCAGUGGGGCUCGUCAGCUUUUGGCAGAAAGAUUUAUUGUAACAGAAUGGUGUCAGUAAGCAGGAUGACCCCAUGCCCCAAGAAAGUGGGAAACCUGCCGCCACAGCCUGCCCUAUCUGGCCACUGAGCUGCAUCGGAGCAGCUUCCAUACGCUCACACCAUUGCCGUGCUCUUGGUCAUUGGACUCCGCACUCCUGAGAUGAUAAAGACAGAUCCAGAUAAAGAAAAACCCCUAAAGGUUUACACUGCAUUUAAAAAUAUAUGUAGGCUUGUGAGAGAAAAAAAUAACUGGAGGAAAUAGAGUAGCCAGUUGUGGUGGAGCACGCUGGUAGGAUUUGCUGAAGGAAGUAGAGGCAGGCGGAUUUCCACAGAGAAACCCUGUCUCAGAAAAAAGAAAAAGGAAGUAAAAGUAAAAUAGUAAAAAAAGCCACCUAGAGAUGAAAAAUACACAGAAUCUGGAUACUUUAUGCCAUAUUGUUGUCUUUAAAUUGUUUGAUUGCCGAGGAAAGACUUACUGCUGCUAAAAUACAUUUGAUUAUAAAUGCUGCUAAAUUAAUCCAACUUACACAUUUUAAAAAUGCUUUGACUUCAAAAUUUAAGUCUAAGGACAGGUGACUUGGAAAAAGAAUUUCUGUUUGUGUUUCCACAGAAAAUAAGAAGCUAUGGAUUCCUUCCAGACUAAUAUGGUUUGAUCAAGCAAGACCCUCUGAAGCUGAGACGAUACAGCCUUACAGACUACAAAAACAAGGACUUGAAAAUACAGAUUAUCAAAACUGGAUCAAGAUAAGACAGGAAGUCUGAAUAGACAAGAAUGUAAACCUGCAACCUGAAAUGCUUGUGACUCCAGAGCUCCAGAGUGUGAGGCAAGAAAAGUAGUCCAUUCCAGGUGGUUUACAAACACAUGGAAUAGUCCUCACCACACAAGAACUACCUCCACAGAACAAGAUGGCAGAAAUGAAGACUUGUGUUCUGUUGACUUCUCCUUGGAGACAAACCCUAUCCAUUUCAGAUAGUGCUGAGAAUUACAGACCUAAGAAACAAUCCCAUCAAUUGCAACUUGGUAAACUAAUGAGUUUAGUUUGGGUCACUUAUGGGUGAAGCAAUGCCUAAAAAAGCAUGGGCACUACACCAUCAAAAACCAGUUGUCUGGUCCCCCAAGGUAUCUGCAAGCUUGCCCAUAUCCCCAUUUGGAGAGGUGAGUAUCUGGGACCCCGGCUAGAGGACACUGCCCUGUGGGUCCUAAGCAACCAGGGCACUUGCUGUGUCCCACUCAUACCCACUGAAGCCCCAGAGUCCUGGAAGCAACCUCCCCACACCCUAGACUAUCACAAAUGACAUCUGUGUGUACAAGAGCUUUGACCCUGCCUAUACCAGGAGAACCCCAGAGCUGUAUCAGCAUCUGGCAGCACCUGUAGGAAAAGCAACUACCUAAGCUACAGGACCCACAUACACCAAUUGAAUGAAGGUAGACCCCCCCUGAAGCACAGGCCCCACCUGCACCCACUGGAGGAAGAGAUGGGUAGACAACAGUGUAAGAAUACAUUCAACAACAUAAAUAGCAGUAUGGCACCACAAAAACUAAAGGUUCUACACCAGCAAGACCUGAGCAUCCCAACACCAAUGAAGCAGAUGAAAACAUUAAAAAUAACUUUAUGAAGAUAAUAGAGAAUCAUAAAGAGAAAGUGAAAAAUCCCCUUAAAGAAAUGGAGGAAAAGAAGUCAAGAAAUUGCUUAAUGAAAGGAAGGAAAUCAAACAGGUGAAAGAAACAUUUCAAACAGUUCAAGACUUGAAAACUAAAAUAGAGGCAAUAAAGAAAACACAAAUCAAAGGAAUGUUCGAAAUGGAAAAUCUGGAUAAACAAUCAGGAACUAGAGAUGCAAGCAUAACCUACAAAAUAUAAGAGAUGGAAGAAAGAAUCUCAGGUGUUGAAGAUCCCCCCACAUUCACUCAUCCUCCAAUGAGUAUCAACAAAGCAUGGCAUAUCAAGUUGAGGUAGGACUAAACUCCUCUUCUUGUAUUAAGGCUGGGCAAGGCAACCAUCUUGACUAAAGGUGACCACAUAGAGUGGGCCCACCAAGGAGACUUCAUGUCUCCAAGAUACUUUGGAUUAGGAUCUAUUUCUGUAUGAUAAUUUCUGUCCUGUCCUAAAAACAAGGUUUAUGAAAGAUGGGAUUUAAAACAAUGACAAUUUAAUGAGGUAUUAAUGCUGCACCUCCAUGAAUUCAUGUACAGGGACAUAACUUUCUGGCUGCCCAAUUUUAUAACAUGAGUAAUUCCCUUUGUAUAUUGAUUUUAGAAACACUAAAUUGUUCAUACUGUGAAAACUGCACUUUGCCUUCUAGAACUACUAAGCUGCUUAUACCUAACAGAUAACAGCCCCCUGAUCCUCAAAUGCUUCAGAGAUUUGAGAAUAUGGAAUUUAAUUUUUAAAAAGGCUUUUCAUGAUAGAGACAUGCCAGCUCCUGUCAGCACACCACCUCCUCCAAGAAAGAUGGAUGGGCAUAGAAGAACCUCCACCUGGAGCUUGCUUUAAAUUUAACAAAUCCAGUCAUGGAACAGAUAAAGACUGCCUUUCACCUCAACUGCCGCCAAAAUUCUGCCCAUACUGUAGACAAUCAGGACACUGGAGAAUUGAUUACCCCACUUUGCCAAGACAGGAUAGGACAGUCCCCCCAAAUUCUUAUUCCACAGGAAAGUCUAUUAGAUCUUCUGGGCCUGGCAGGUGAAGAUUGAUACUGCCCUGGGACCUCUGUCCCCAACAACCACAGGUAGCUGGUAAGCUAUUUCACUUUGCUUACUCAGGCAAAAUUUAUCCUUCUCAGAUCUGAUGGGGUUUGAUGACUAGGAUACUGAUAGAUUUGCCAGUUUAACUGCUCUCACCACUACAUCCCAAGGCUACAAACCACCUUGGUAGCUCAUUAGUUAAGCUUCUUGUUAAAAAAUACUAACGGGUUUGCCUUGUUCACAGGCUUCAUAGUAAAGGAUAAAUAGGCUUCAGGAGUCAGUGGGAUCAUGCUCAGUGGGAGGUAUGGGUGAAGAAGCAUCCAAAACUGCCAUAACCUCAGGAAUCUGUUUCUUGAGGAAGCAGAGAAGGCAAGUUGCUAGAAGAAAAAACAGAUUAUGAACACCAGCCCUUCAAGUCUCUGAAGAAACGAACUGGAGAAAAUAUCAGAAGAUAGAAAGAUCUCCCAGGCUCAUGUAUAAGUAGGAUUAAGACAGUAAAAAUGGUCAUCUUACCAAAAGCACUCUUGGAACUCCUUUCCUCCUGUUGGGCUGCCCUGUCCAACUUUGAUAUGCUAUGUUUUUGUUGUUUGGUUGUUACCUCUUAGAAGCAUGAAAGGGAGUGGAUCUGAAGGGCAGAGGAUGUGGUAAGUAGGAGGAGUAAAGGGAAGGGAAACUAUAAACAAGAUCUAUUGUAAGAAAAUUUUAUUUAAAAAAAAGAAAACUAAUUCUACAGUUACAUAAAUAAUACUUUUGAAAAAAGUAGUUAGUGAUUAACCUAGAUAGUUACUUCAAUUAUAUAUUAAUGCUUUAAAGAUUGCAGCUAUAACUAGAACAAACUUGCAUUUCAAGUUGCUUGUGGUAAUUUACAAAGCUCAACUUUGACUCUUAUUUGUGGAAUGACCUGUGUGUUGUACCUUCUUCACUGUAUUCAUUUGAAGAUGGCCUUUGUUGAACUCAUUCAUUUUUUCCCCUUCUAGCUAUUUAUAGAGCUUUAAAAGAUUUCCAGUUCAUUUUAAUGUUUUGGAAUUCUUAGAUCUAUAUUAGACACUGAUUGGAUACAUGAAACACCAAAAUCUCCUUUUUAGUAUGUAUCUAGAUAAUUUUAUAACUGUAAAGUUCAGG